rnacentral:piRNA from 1 species
CCAAUCCUACAUCCAAUAGAGGGCUAAACUC